ensembl:lncRNA
GGCAGAUUAAGAAAAAGAAUUAGCCAGGUUAGGAGGCUUAUUCAGAGACACAGCCAGCAAGUCACAGGGUCAGGAUUCGGCCCCGAGCUGCCACCCUGUCUGUAGUGAGGCACAGGGUUAGUGGCCACAGGCCUGCGGGAGAGCAGGGAGGGUGGGCUGCCCUUCACAGGGUGAGUUCAGCCGAGGAACACAGGGUCCUGAGCUGGUAACGUGCUCACCACAAACGAAAUGACCUUGUACUCACAGAUGCACAUUUUCUGCAGUGCAACAAAGGAGAGAUUAGCACAGAGAUUCAAUUAUGUCUCCCAUUUUCAGUGGCAAUUUUGCUCUCUCAGUAGAUUACUUGGCAGAGAGCCCCUCCCCGCAAGGCAAAUGGAGCUGUAUCCCACCGCUCACUCCCUCACUCCCCGCGGUGCCUGCCACCUUCAGCCUGGGGCUUCCCUCCCACCGUGCCUGGCAGGCCGAGGGGCAGGCCGCCCGCCUUGAGGGCACCCUGAGUAUGUGGGCCAUGGGCGCAGAGGCACUUGACCUCAUUCCCUUGGAGGAAUUCAGGGAAGCCUCCUCGGUCAUCCCCACGAGAGUGCCCUGGCCCCACGUGGGUGGAGGACACGGAGAGGAGGACGGUGGGGGAAGGGAGGGCCGCCAGCAGGCAGGUGCCCGGACAGUGAGCGCGCGCCACGGUCAGCUGCUGUGUAACCAGGUCAGGCUCCGAACCCGGGCCUGACUGAGCCCCGCUCUUCCCUUUAAACCUGGCUACACAAUCACGUUUUCCUGCCCCCAGUUGCUAAUGUACUUCCCCUUGAUAAGUUGUUGCUUUCUCUUUUUCAUUUUACUUUUAUUCACCUCUGAACCAGAAAGUUCCUUGUUUAGACCAAAUGAGUGGUCUGGAUGUUACUGAAAGAGUAACAGCGGCCCCUCUGCCUGUGGUCACCUGCUUGCAUUUGCUGUCGCCCGCUGAGCCCCAGGCCAGGUACAUCGAACGAAAAGCUUUUCUAGACCGAGUGGAUCACAGGCAGUUUGAAAUCGAGCGAGAUCUCAGGCUGAGCAAAAUGAAACCCUGAUGUGAUGGGGAGCCCCCGCAGCUCAGUCCUCUUUAUAGCGUGAGCUUAUGUGUCUGUGAGAUGUUUCCUGUGCUUCUCAUCGACUGGCUCCCAGCAAGGUCCUUUUUUCUACACUGAAUUUCUGUCUUUGUAUCUUGAUCUCACAUGAUUUCAUUUGUUUUACUUUUAAUAGUUUGUCCUUUCAAAAAUAAAGAUUAAAAAAAAAAGUACAAGUUGAUCCUGUGAGAGGCUGGUGAGGAUGACGCCACUUGCCUUCCCUUUGUUCUGCUGCGAAGUCCACGAGGCCAAGCCCGUUCCUCGCAGGCCUGUCUCGGCCGCUGUGGAGAAGAGAGCGCGCGGCCCGCUCACCGUGGGCCCGAGAGCAGGGGCUGAGACGAGGCUCGCCAUGCUGGCAUGAUGCCAGGCCCCGCGCUUCUCUCCUGACUGGACUCCUCCACCCGGAUACAAUGUAAAGAUGUAAGGCUGAAAAAUAAGGAUAUGCCAUCACUGAAUUAGAGAUCUUUCUUUUCCUUCAGCCUUUCUCCUCUCCUCAAAGUUAAAGUCAACUUCCCAUGUUUCUCAUCUCAAUAAUUCUUUGAUUGGGGGUUUGUCAAAGAAAACUACAAAGGACUC